AGAGUUUGAUCAUGGCUCAGAACGAACGCUGGCGGCGUGGCUAAGGCAUGCAAGUCGAACGGACCCUUCGGGGUUAGUGGCGAACGGGUGAGGAAUACAUGGAUAACGUACCCUGAACUCAAGAAUAGCGAAGCGAAAGUUUCGGUAAUACUUGAUAACCCCACAGUAUCGCAUGGAACAGUGGGCAAAGUUACGGCGGUUCAGGAGCGGUUCAUGUCCUAUCAGCUUGUUGGUGGGGUAAUGGCCUACCAAGGCAACGACGGGUACCGGGCGUGAGAGCGUGACCCGGCACAUCGGCACUGAGACACUGGCCGGACACCUACGGGUGGCUGCAGCAACGAAUAUUCCGCAAUGGACGAAAGUCUGACGGAGCGACGCCGCGUGCAGGAAGAAUUCCCUCGGGAUGUAAACUGCUGUCAGGGGAUAGAAAGAUCUGAUCAACCCCAAAGGAAGCACCGGCUAACUCCGUGCCAGCAGCCGCGGUAAUACGGAGGGUGCAAGCGUUGUUCGGAAUCACUGGGCUUAAAGCGCGUGUAGGCGGAAUAUCAGGUGUCUUGUGAAAUCCCCAGGCUCAACCUGGGAAUUGCUUGGCAAACCGAUAUUCUUGAGGCAGGUAGAGGUCAUUGGAACGACUGGUGGAGCGGUGAAAUGCGUAGAUAUCAGUUGGAACGCCGGAGGCGAAAGCGAAUGACUGGGCCUGUCCUGACGCUGAGACGCGAAAGCGUGGGUAGCAAACAGGAUUAGAUACCCUAGUAGUCC
rnacentral:rRNA from 1 species